rnacentral:rRNA from 1 species
GAUGAACGCUGGCGGCGUGCUUAACACAUGCAAGUCGAACGGAAAGGCUCCUGCUUGCAGGGGUACUCGAGUGGCGAACGGGUGAGUAACACGUGGGUGAUCUGCCCUGCACUUCGGGAUAAGCCUGGGAAACUGGGUCUAAUACCGGAUAGGACGAUGGUUUGGAUGCCAUUGUGGAGAGCUUUUUCGGUGUGGGAUGAGCUCGCGGCCUAGCAGCUUGUUGGUGGGGGAAUGGCCUACCAAGGCGUCGACGGGUAGCCGGCCCGGGAGGGUGUACGGCCACAGUGGCAUUGGGAUGCGGCCAAGGCUGCUAAGGGAGGAAGGAGUGGAGAAUAUUGCACGAUGGGCGGAAGCCUGAUGCAGCGCCGCCGCGUGGGAGAUGACGGCCUUCGGGAUGUAAACUCCUUACGUUAGGGACGAAGCGCAAGUGCCGGAACCUGGAGAAGAAGAACCGGCUAACUACG